GUGAUAGCAACAAAGGAAAAAGGCUACACCACAUAAGAUAAACAAUCUUUAGAAUCCGGGAGACCUGUCCCACUCUAACUGAAGUUGGGGAAAAACUCAUGAAAUUAGUCACUUAUGCUGUGUUCUCAAUCAAAAUUAUGACGAAACUUUAAUCUUUUUGCAUCCUUCUAGUUGAAGUCGAAAGUCCGCGUCAAGAAAACUGACAGCCCCGGAUGGUAUUAAUUAUGCCAACCUGUUGAUCAAAGAGGGCCCCACAGAGCUGCCGCGGCACAGAGCCUUCACUCCUGAGCAGUCUCGGAAAUGGCAGUCUGUGCUCAACUCGGAGACUUGGCUGUCUGCCUUUU
rnacentral:lncRNA from 1 species